AAUGCAUCACCGCACACGGGGCUCGCGGGUCCGGGAGCGCGACGGAGACGAUGCCUGAGAUCAGAGUCACGCCCUUGGGUGCCUGCCCUGUGCUGUCCUGGAACAUGGUCCUUCCACCGGGCAGGGGGUCGAGGGCACCUUCCAGCACAGACACCAAGACGGGAUUCCAUGUCCUUCCCCAUGGCGUGGGUGCUUCCUCGGAGGGUGCCCCCCGCCCCGGUGUGGACACUGUGCUGUGAACACCCCUGGCCCUUGCACACCCCACGGCAUUUUGCAGCUGUUGUGUGGGCCCCACUGCCCUCCCCUGCUCUCUGAGGCCUCCGUGGGGUCCUCCCAGCCUACCCCUUUCCCAUUCGGCCUCUUGGCUGCCUGUUGUGCCCACUCCGGGACAUCUGAUCUUUCUGAUCUUUCAUGUGGUUUCAGUCGCCCCCAAUCUGUACCUGGGCAUAUUCUUAAGGUCACCUCAGCGAAGGUGUCGGCAAAGCAGAAGGCCUGUUUCACUACUUCCCUGCGCCAGGCACUGCCUCGGGCUCCGUGUCCGCGCUCACUGGACCACUGCUGUGUCCUUGGGGUCACUCCCACGCCUUGGCCUG
rnacentral:sRNA from 1 species